CUUUGAUGCUACAAUAGAUUACUGUCAGAGGAAAUAUUUGUGCAGAAGCGAUCAUUCAAUAGAGUGUUGGGAUGGCAUGGCAAGGCUUGUAAAAGCUAUAGAAGUCUGCAUGCAGUCAAAGUAACUCAUUUUUAUCAGCAAUGGUCCGACUUUAUAAAUCUCACUGUCAACAAAUUCGUAAGCCAUAGGGCAAAGAAAAAGUUAUGAUUUUUCUACAAAAGAAUCACAAGUAUAUCAUUAGUCCAGCUGAAAGACAAAUAUAAUGCUAUGACAUAUGAGUCGAUUUUGAUUGGAAAAUUUUCAAGUUAGUUCACAAUGCCACCAUGUAAUUCACAGCUUCUAGGCACUAAGUUACAGUAAGAUAGGGCUGUCCAAAAAAAAAAAAAAGUUAAAAAAGCACCGGAGCAGGUCAGGGGCAAGAUCGCUCCCUUCAUUCCCACCUCAUAGGAGAUCAGGGUCAGGGCAGAACUUUACUGCGAAGCGUGGGGCGGGGCAAUUUGCCAGGAAAUAUUUCUUUUUCUUUUUAAUUUUUUUAUUAUUAUAUAAUAUAAAUUUAUUUAUUA
rnacentral:misc_RNA from 1 species